UAAACGGUCACCUCAAGGCACAGCAUUGUCCCCAUUCCCCAUCCCCUUGUGCGGGUUUGAUCUCUGCUCCAUCGCUGAUGCAAUGGCAGGAGCAGUCAGCAGGAUGCUGCUGGUGGCCUCAGGGCCCAACCGCAUUCUUUGCUCUGACACAGGCUUUCUGUUCAUGCAGCUCCCGUGCCUCAGUUUCCCUCAUUCCAGGCAUGGAAGAUGGAUCCAACAGCAGUGCUUUUCCGCAGGGGACUGUCAUGAAGACGUGUGUACAAAGAACAAAGCGGGACCCCUUCAUGUUACUCAGGCACGGUUCACUGAUGGCUGCUUCCCUGUCUGCUGCCUUCCCAAGGUGCAUGGAUGUGGCUGAAGGGCACAGGAAUGCAGCUCUUGUUUGGAAACCCAUCAUCCCUGCACUUGCAGCCUGGAGAUGCCUCAGGUACUCACGAUGAUAUUGCUCAGCAGGAGGAACAUGGAGAUCUCCUUUAAGAACUUCCUCCUCCAGUUCAUCUUCUUGGGAGCAGUGAGGGACCUCACGAGGUCGGAAGGAUGGAUGGCUUCUGAGCCAGAGACAG